rnacentral:rRNA from 1 species
CAGUGUGACUCGUCACACUAUCAUUAACUGAAUCCAUAGGUUAAUGAGGCGAACCGGGGGAACUGAAACAUCUAAGUACCCCGAGGAAAAGAAAUCAACCGAGAUUCCCCCAGUAGCGGCGAGCGAACGGGGAGGAGCCCAGAGCCUGAAUCAGCAUGUGUGUUAGUGGAAGCGUCUGGAAAGGCGCGCGAUACAGGGUGACAGCCCCGUACACAAAAGCGCAUGUGCUGUGAGCUCGAUGAGUAGGGCGGGACACGUGGUAUCCUGUCUGAAUAUGGGGGGACCAUCCUCCAAGGCUAAAUACUCCUGACUGACCGAUAGUGAACCAGUACCGUGAGGGAAAGGCGAAAAGAACCCCGGCGAGGGGAGUGAAAAAGAACCUGAAACCGUGUACGUACAAGCAGUGGGAGCACAGGUUUACCUGUGUGACUGCGUACCUUUUGUAUAAUGGGUCAGCGACUUAUAUUCUGUAGCAAGGUUAACCGUAUAGGGGAGCCGUAGGGAAACCGAGUCUUAACCGGGCGUUAAGUUGCAGGGUAUAGACCCGAAACCCGGUGAUCUAGCCAUGGGCAGGUUGAAGGUUGGGUAACACUAACUGGAGGACCGAACCGACUAAUGUUGAAAAAUUAGCGGAUGACCUGUGGCUGGGGGUGAAAGGCCAAUCAAACCGGGAGAUAGCUGGUUCUCCCCGAAAGCUAUUUAGGUAGCGCCUCGUGAAUUCAUCUCCGGGGGUAGAGCACUGUUUCGGCUAGGGGGCCAUCCCGGCUUACCAACCCGAUGCAAACUGCGAAUACCGGAGAAUGUUAUCACGGGAGACACACGGCGGGUGCUAACGUCCGUCGUGAAGAGGGAAACAACCCAGACCGCCAGCUAAGGUCCCAAAGUCAUGGUUAAGUGGGAAACGAUGUGGGAAGGCCCAGACAGCCAGGAUGUUGGCUUAGAAGCAGCCAUCAUUUAAAGAAAGCGUAAUAGCUCACUGGUCGAGUCGGCCUGCGCGGAAGAUGUAACGGGGCUAAACCAUGCACCGAAGCUGCGGCAGCGACGCUGAUGCGUUGUUGGGUAGGGGAGCGUUCUGUAAGCCUGCGAAGGUGGCCUGUGAGGGUUGCUGGAGGUAUCAGAAGUGCGAAUGCUGACAUAAGUAACGAUAAAGCGGGUGAAAAGCCCGCUCGCCGGAAGACCAAGGGUUCCUGUCCAACGUUAAUCGGGGCAGGGUGAGUCGACCCCUAAGGCGAGGCCGAAAGGCGUAGUCGAUGGGAAACGGGUUAAUAUUCCCGUACUUGGUGUUACUGCGAAGGGGGGACGGAGAAGGCUAUGUUGGCCGGGCGACGGUUGUCCCGGUUUAAGCGUGUAGGUGUGUGUUCCAGGUAAAUCCGGUUCACUUUAACACUGAGGCGUGACGACGAGGCACUACGGUGCUGAAGCAACAAAUGCCCUGCUUCCAGGAAAAGCCUCUAAGCAUCAGGUAACACGAAAUCGUACCCCAAACCGACACAGGUGGUCAGGUAGAGAAUACCAAGGCGCUUGAGAGAACUCGGGUGAAGGAACUAGGCAAAAUGGUGCCGUAACUUCGGGAGAAGGCACGCUGA